ensembl:lncRNA
AUCUUACUGGAGAUUGCUGUCUACUAGAGAUGCUUUAAGGUGCAACCAUAUUAUUCAAGAGGAAUGAAGAACAGUAGCUGAUACAUCAGAUACAGAUUCAGCACACACUGCAAUAACUGAUACUCUGUAAGCAUUCUUCUCUAGAUAUUAUUGUAGGUCUAAGAUUUCUACAGAUGUGUUAUGAAAGUCAAGGCAACAAACAGUUGGAAAACAGGAGACAUGACAGUGAUAUCCCUUGGAUUUUUGUAGCCAGUAAGGUUGGACUUUAAUUUGCUGUCUGAAAAAUGUUCUGUGGCAGUUCCCGAGAAUGUAAAAACAUAGGUUUCAAAGAAAAUAUCUGGAGGUAAAUCAGAAUAAAGAUUUUUAGUGUCACUUAUUACCUAGUAACUGUCUGUACACAUCCUCUUAUGCCACAGUAAUACAAAAUAAGGAAAGAUAUUUCCCCUCAGUGAAAGGUAGUUAAACUGUUUUGAGUGAGGAAAGUUUGUGGGUGUGUUAAUCCUGACAUUCUGUAAUUCCUGACAUCAACUUUUCAGGCAUACCAGUCUGUAUCAACUACACAAACUGACAGCCGUUUCUCUAGCGGGGCCUCUCUGAGCUGUUGCCAAAGACUCUUGGUUAUAAAAAUGGGAAGAUGUUUUCUUGAAGUUGUUCAUGGUUUUGGCUUGUAUUUAUACUCUUAUAAACAAAAAAAAUGGGUAGAAAUUUAAAUGUCAUAGUUAUAUAACUAUCAUGUUAAGGACUUAAUAAAUGUUAUUUUGUUGUUUCAUAUUGAUAUUU